rnacentral:lncRNA from 10 species
GUAUAUGAAAGUAUGCACUGGCUAUUCGAGGCAUGUCUCCUGAUGUCUCCCAAAGAAUGCACUCCUCUGGCCUAUGCCUGAUUACUCCGCAGAAAUUCCCGUGGUUUCUGCAGUCUCAGCAACUUCUGUCACAGAGAUUCUGGAAAUACUCUACUGAAAACGUUCGUGGAUAUAUCACCUCCUGGUAAUAAGAAAAUAUGCAGAAAAGAACACAGCAGGUCAGAGAUUGCUAUCCUGAGGAAGGCCUCCUGAAAAGGUUGGCCCAGCUGGCAUUCCAGAACUUGGAUUUGGUAAGAAUGGUAAGAAUAACUCAUUGUACCUAAACUGUUUGUACAAACAAUGUGCUUUAAGUUGAAUACCUGAUUUCCAUCUGGGAAUCUGGAAUUUUGGCACAUGCUAGGCAGAGGGUGCCUAUAUGACCAACCCUCAACAAAAACUCUGGACAUGGAGUCUCUAAUUAGAUCCUCUGGUAGACAACAGUUCACACAUGUCAUAUCUUGUUGCUAAUGUAAUCGAGUGAAUCCUGUGUGACUCCCCUGGGAAAGGAUUCAUGGAAGCUUGCUCCUGGUUACUGGAUUUACUGGUUACUGCUUCUGGAUUUACCUCAUGAGUCUUUUCUAUUGCUCAUUUUGCUUUUUAUCCUGUGAUGUAACAAAUCAUAGCCACGAGUAUGACUAUAUGCUAAGUCCUGUGAGUUGAAUUAUGAAACUCAGGAGAGAAGGGAUUGGGAGGCCCAAGUUAUAGGAGGCUUUUAUCAUUUAAUUACCAUUUAUAUAUACAUGCUACAUAUAAUUUUCCUUAGUGGCUUUUAGAAUUUUUACCUUAUACUUGGUUCUACAAUUUUGUUAUGCUGUGCCUAC